GGAUUUGAGUCCUACAGGCUCAGCACUUAUGAAAAAGGAUAAAGUCCUUCCCAGCCUGGCAGGAGAAGGAAAAGCCUGUGGUGGGGGAAGGGAGUGAAGGCGUGUGCCUCCUCAUGGAACACAGGGUCGGAGUCGGCUAGGAGGGAUAAGAGUACAAUAGAGGGUUGUGUGACACAGACAGGCUGCCAGCCCUCAGCAUGGACCCGGCACAUGGAAUCUGUGAUCUUAAAAGAGUCAAGUGACUACCUUUGGCAACCAAAAGAGACACUGCCUUUUAGAAGGCAUAUCAUCUGAAACUGGCUGAAAGAGCUGUCUUACUUAGGAAGAAAAAUCUCUCCUUUGGAAAGAGCUGGAACUUUUAGUAAAACUGAACAGUGAGGUGGCGGAAGAUAAAUAUGCUGAGGCAUGUUUUCAAGGAGGGGAGAGAGAUUCCUUUUCCUCAGCCGGGCACAGAGCCAACCUGAAGUGUAGCACUGUGGUGACCUGGCGGGAUCUGCUCUCCAGUCACUCCCGAGGGCCCUUCUGGGGACAAGGAGACUUUUCUGUGCGGCCUGUUGAUUUGAGAUCGAGGCUAUCAAGCUACAGAUGAUCUUACAAAUGGAACCCCAAAUGAGCUCAACUAACAACUACCAAGGACCCCUGGACCAACCCGCUGGCCCUUUCAAUGGCCUAAAGAGUUCCCCUCUGGAGGACACUACAACUGCAGGGUCCUUUCUUUGCCCCUAUCCAGCAGGAAGUAGCUAGAGUGGUCAUCACCCAAUUCCCAACAGCAGUUGGGGUGUCUUGUUAAGUGGGGAGAUUGAGAGGUGAAGCCAGCUGGGCUUCUGGGUUGGGUGGGGACUUGGAGAACUUUUCUGUCUAGCUAGAGGAUUGUAAACACACCAAUCAGUGCUAUGUGUCUAGCUAGAGGUUUGUAAAUGCACCAAUCAGCACUCUGUAAAAACGGACCAAUCAGCACUCUGUAAAAUGGACCAAUCAGUAGGAUGCGGGCAGGGCCAAAUAAGGGAAUAAAAGCUGGCCACCUGAGUCAGCAGUGGCAACCCACUCGGGUCCCCUUCCAUGCUGUGGAAGCUUUGUUCUUUCACUCUUCACAAUAAAUCUUGCUGCUGCUCACUCUUUGGGUCCACACCACCUUUAUGAGCUGCAACACUCACUGCGAAGGUCUUCAGCUUCACUCCUGAAGUCAGCGAGACCACGAACCCAUGGGGAGGAACAAUCGACUUCAGACAUGCCACCUUUAAGAGCUGUAACACUCACUGCGAAGGUCUGUGGCUUCACUCCUGAAGUCAGCAAGACCACGAACCCACUGGAAGGAAGAAAUUUCGGACACAUCUGAACAUCUGAAUGAACAAACUCUGGACACGCCAUCUUUAAGAACUGUAACACUCACUGUGAGGGUUCAUGGGUUCAUUCUUGAAGUCAGCAAGACCAAGAACCCACCAGAAGGAACCAAUUCCGGACACAGACUCACUGCAACCUCCACCUCCUGGAUUCAAGUGAUUCUCCUGCCUCAGCCUCCGGAGUAGCUGUGCCUACAGGCACAAGCCACCACACACGGCUAAUUUUUUGUAUUUUUAGUAGAGAUGGGGUUUCACCAUGUUGCUCAGGCUGGUCUCCAACUCCUGAGCUCAAGUGAUCCACCUGUCUCGGCCUCCCAAAGUGUUGGGAUACAUGUGUGAGCCACUGUGCCCGGCCUCCUCUGGAUUAGUUCUUACAGGAAUAGAUUAGUUCUUGCUCGAGCAAGUUGUUAUAAAAGUGAGGUUGCCUCUAGUGUUUUGCAUCCUCACAUAUGUCUGCUUACCUCUUGACCUCUCUCUGUGUUAUGACCCAGCACAAAAGCCCUUACCAGAAGCCAAGCAGAUGCUGAUGCCACACCCCUUGGACUUCUCAGUCUACAGAGCCAUGAAACGAAUAAACCUCUCUUUAUAAAUUA
ensembl:lncRNA LINC02732 long intergenic non-protein coding RNA 2732